rnacentral:rRNA from 1 species
UGGGGAAUAUUGGACAAUGGGCGAAAGCCUGAUCCAGCCAUGCCGCGUGUGUGAAGCAGGUCUUCGGAUUGUAAAGCACUUUAAGUUGGGAGGAAGGGCAGUAAGCGAAUACCUUGCUGUUUUGACGUUACCGACAGAAUAAGCACCGGCUAACUCUGUGCCAGCAGCCGCGGUAAUACAGAGGGUGCAAGCGUUAAUCGGAAUUACUGGGCGUAAAGCGCGCGUAGGUGGUUCGUUAAGUUGAAUGUGAAAGCCCCGGGCUCAACCUGGGAACUGCAUCCAAAACGGGCGAGCUAGAGUAGGGCAGAGGGUGGUGGAAUUUCAUGUGUAGCGGUGAAAUGCGUAGAUAUAGGAAGGAACACCAGUGGCGAAGGCGACCACCUGGGCUCAUACUGACACUGAGGUGAGAAAGCGUGGGGAGCAAACAGG